GGGAUCUGUUUCUCCAACCACCUCAUUCUGCAGGCCAUCGACACUCAAAACACAUCCUCAACCACCAUUGGAUUGAACUGGUCUAGUACUAUCGAAUAGCAGAAUCCUGCUGCCAUUCUAUGAGAACCCCAGACUUCAUGGAGAGGCGUCAUGGAAGAAAAUCAUGCUAGGGACAAUAGCUCCUGUGAUUUCUGGCUAACACCCGGUCAGACUAUAGCCACAUGAGUGUGCGCCAUCUUGGAUGCUGGUAGACUAACUGACCCUCCAGGUGACGACAGCUCUAGUUGACAUCACAUAGAGCAGAACCACCUGGUGUAACCCAGUCAGCCCACAGAAUUGUGAAAAAUGAUAACAAAAUGGUAGUUGUUAAGCACUACGAAGUUUGGGGGUGGUUUAUUACACAGCAAUAGAUAACUAAAGUGGGAGGUAUUUUCUAUGUAUCUUCAUUUGCAUAUGUAUCUGAAUGUCCCAGAUCCACUUCCAAUGGAUAUCUGCAGGAUGUAGCGUCCUGAGAUCUUAGAGAAAGCCAAGACAAGGCCCUGGGGGCCUGGCUGUGAUGCCAGGGCUGGUCACUCUGAGUUAAAUGCUUUUCCUAAAUAAACUGUUUCUCACAAAACAUCUGGA